rnacentral:rRNA from 1 species
UACGUAGGUGGCGAGCGUUGUCCGGAUUUACUGGGCGUAAAGCGCGCGCAGGCGGUUCGUUAAGUCCGGUGUGAAAGCUCCCGGCUCAACUGGGAGAGGUCAUUGGAUACUGGCGGACUUGAGGGAUGCAGAGGAAGGUGGAAUUCCCGGUGUAGUGGUGAAAUGCGUAGAGAUCGGGAGGAACACCAGUGGCGAGGGCGGCCUUCUGGGCAUUUCCUGACGCUGAGGCGCGAAAGCGUGGGGAGCGAACCGG